rnacentral:piRNA from 1 species
UAGGCAGUGUGAAGAAAGGAACCGUUCCGGCU